GGCGGUAUUUGUCAGGCAGACCUCGUAGCUAUCGCCUGCGGCAAUGUAAUCCAGGCAGCGCUGGAUGCUCGCCAGGUACUGCCGC
rnacentral:tRNA from 1 species